GAGACACCCUUAUGGGGCAAGACUUGCUUCAGUGGGGCUUUGGCACUUACUGAGUUUGCCCCCUGGGUGUGUUUCU
rnacentral:pre_miRNA from 1 species